AACGAACGCUGGCGGCGUGUUUAAGACAUGCAAGUCGUACGGAUCAAAAUUGUAGCAAUACCGUUUUGGUUAGUGGCGCACGGGUGAGUAACACGUGAAUAACAUGCCCCGCAGUGGAGAAUAGCCCAGGGAAACUUGGAUUAAUACCCCAUGGUAUCGCAAGAUUAAAGGUGGCCGCAAGGCUGUCGCCGCAGGAAUGGUUUGCGUCCUAUCAGCUAGUUGGUAGGGUAACGGGUCACCAAGGCGACGACGGGUACCUGGUCUGAGAGGCCGAUCAGGAACACUGGAACUGAGACACGGUCCAGACACCUACGGGUGGCAGCAGUCGAGAAUAAUUCACAAUGGGGGAAACCCUGAUGGUGCAACGCCGCGUGGAGGAUGAAGGUCUUCGGAUUGUAAACUCCUGUCAUCUGGGAGUAAGACCUGGGCGUGAAUAGCGCACAGGGUUGAUAGUACCAGAAGAGGAAGGGACGGAUAACUUCGUGCCAGCAGCCGCAGUAACAC
rnacentral:rRNA from 1 species